GUGGGGAAUAUUGGACAAUGGGCGAAAGCCUGAUCCAGCAAUGCCGCGUGAGUGAUGAAGGCCCUAGGGUUGUAAAAUUCUUUCACCGGGGACGAUAAUGACGGUACCCGGAGAAGAAGCCCCGGCUAACUUCGUGCCAGCAGCCGCGGUAAUACGAAGGGGGCUAGCGUUGCUCGGAAUUACUGGGCGUAAAGGGCGCGUAGGCGGACAGUUUAGUCAGAGGUGAAAGCCCAGGGCUCAACCUUGGAAUUGCCUUUGAUACUGGCUGUCUUGAGUACGGGAGAGGGGAGUGGAACUCCGAGUGUAGAGGUGAAAUUCGUAGAUAUUCGGAAGAACACCAGUGGCGAAGGCGACUCACUGGCCCGUUACUGACGCUGAGGCGCGAAAGCGUGGGGAGCAAACAGGAUUAGAAACCCGAGUAGUCC
rnacentral:rRNA from 1 species